rnacentral:rRNA from 1 species
GAUAAUACACGAAAAACCUUACCGAGGCUUGUAAUCUUUUGCAAAGCUAUAGAAAUAUAGUGGAGGCUAUCAGAAUGACAGGUGGUGCAUGGCUGUCGUCAGCUCGUGUCUUGAGAUGUUUGGUUAAGUCCCGUAACGAGCGCAACCCUACUCCUUAGUUAACCAGUUCUAAAGUGACUGAAUCGUAAGAUAUAGGAAGGUUGGGGCCAAGUCAAGUCAUCAUGCCCCUUAUGCCUCGGGCUGCAAACGUGCUACAAUGGUAGGUACAAUGUGUUGCAGUCUAGCAAUAGUGAGCAAAUCACCCAAAACCUAUCUCAGUCCGGAUAAAAGGCUGCAAUUCGCCUAUUUGAAGUUGGAAU